CUGUACCUAUAGACCUCAAAGUUCAGGACAGGUUAAAAAAAAAGAAUGACUGUUGUUCUUUUGGUUUGCACUAGGAUGCAAAUGAAAAAAUAUUCCCUGCGCUUUCUGUCUGUCUUUGUGGCGGCUCAGAUUGAAUUAGGGAAUACAUUU
rfam:Otolemur garnettii contig015449, whole genome shotgun sequence.